GCACCAUGGCUGACCUGAUGAGAAGGCUCUGGAGAAGAGAAGGCUCUGGGCAGACCUCAUUAUAGCCUUCCAAGACUCGAAGGGAGCAUAUAAACAGGAGGAGGUAGGAAAACAUGGAGAAAUGCUAGUAAAGGCCUCCACAGACUUAGUAUAAAUAAGGAACAACUCCGUAGAGAAGUCUGUGAAUUUACCCUCACAGAAAGAGUACCAGAACAUUGUAAGAAACCUGCGCUGAAGUCUUGUUGUAUUAUCUCUCCAUACUGCUGUGAUUGAGAUGGGUUUUUUGAUGAGGAGGUAGCUCCAGGGAUUCGUUGAAGAUGUCUUCUACUUUCCACAGCUGGGCACUGGGAAGGAGCCAGCUGUGUGGCUAACCAGUUCUCCACGGAGUGACAGAACCCAACCACAGCUUGGGCACUUCAGGUGGAGAUGCCCACUGCUUCCCUGAAAGG
rnacentral:lncRNA from 1 species